rnacentral:rRNA from 1 species
GACGAACGCUGGCGGCGUGCUUAACACAUGCAAGUCGAACGAUGAAGCGGUGCCUGCCCCGUGGAUUAGUGGCGAACGGGUGAGUAAUACGUGAGUGACCUACCUUUGACUCUGGGAUAAGCCUGGGAAACUGGGUCUAAUACCGGAUACGACCAAUCUCUGCAUGGGGUGUUGGUGGAAAGCGUUAUGGAGUGGUUUUAGAUGGGCUCACGGCCUAUCAGCUUGUUGGUGAGGUAAUGGCUUACCAAGGCGACGACGGGUAGCCGGCCUGAGAGGGUGACCGGCCACACUGGGACUGAGACACGGCCCAGACUCCUACGGGAGGCAGCAGUGGGGAAUAUUGCACAAUGGGCGCAAGCCUGAUGCAGCGACGCCGCGUGAGGGAUGACGGCCUUCGGGUUGUAAACCUCUGUUAGCAUCGAAGAAGCGAAAGUGACGGUAGGUGCAGAGAAAGCGCCGGCUAACUACGUG